rnacentral:rRNA from 1 species
AAUUAUUGGGUGUAAAGGGUGCGUAGGCGGGCUGUAAAGUCAGGCGUGAAAUGCAGGAGCUCAACUCCUGAACUGCGCUUGAAACUUACGGUCUUGAGUGAAGUAGAGGUAAGCGGAAUUCCUAGUGUAGCGGUGAAAUGCGUAGAUAUUAGGAGGAACACCAGUGGCGAAGGCGGCUUACUGGGCUUUUACUGACGCUGAGGCACGAAAGUGUGGGGAGCAAACAGGAUUAGAUACCCUGGUAGUCCACACCGUAAACGAUGAUUACUAGGUGUAGGGCGGCUGAAACCGUUCUGUGCCGGAGUUAACACAAUAAGUAAUCCACCUGGGGAGUACGACCGCAAGGUUGAAACUCAAAGGAAUUGACGGGGGCCCGCACAAGCAGUGGAGUAUGUGGUUUAAUUCGACGCAACGCGAAAAACCUUACCAGGUCUUGACAUCGAUUGACGAGUAUAGAGAUAUGCUCUUCCCUUCGGGGACAAGAAGACAGGUGGUGCAUGGUUGUCGUCAGCUCGUGUCGUGAGAUGUUUGGUUAAGUCCAGCAACGAGCGCAACCCCUAUUGUCAGUUGCUACGCAAGAGCACUCUGGCGAGACUGCCGAUGUAAAUCGGAGGAAGGUGGGGAUGACGUCAAAUCAUCAUGCCCUUUAUGACCUGGGCUACACACGUACUACAAUGGCGGUUAACAGAGGGGAGCGAAGGAGUGAUCCGGAGCAAAUCCUCAAAAGCCGUCUCAGUUCAGAUUGCAGGCUGCAACUCGCCUGCAUGAAGUCGGAAUUGCUAGUAAUCGCGAAUCAGCAUGUCGCGGUGAAUACGUUCCCGGGCCUUGCACACACCGCCCG